CACAGCCCUACCACGCCAGGCUCCGACGCCUUCUGGCCGUAACCGCCUGACCAAGCGCCACGCCUGCGCCCUGGCGAAGAGGCCAGAAUGGGGGUGGGGUCCCGAACGCGGCGCAAGGGAUCCUGGGUGCCGGGCAGUGUGGGAGACCAGAAAUAUGCCACAGGAAAAUAUGAAGGAUUGUUGAGCUGAAGGCAAUGAAGCAGCAGCAGAUGCAAGAAAGCUCUCUGCCCUCCAUUUGCCUAAAAGCACGACGACAUAGAUUUACAAAAACAAAAGGUAUCCUGCCCCACCUUCUACUGGGAAGAGCAAAAAUAUUAACUACCAAAGACAACUUCGGACCCUUAUUGGCCUAGAGAUGAUACCAGAAGAAUCUACAUUAACAAACUUUACUUACUGGCCUUUAUUGCCACUCAUUUCCUUCCUCCAAGUUGCUGUUCUUAGAGACUCAAAGUCCUUUUCCUUUGUCUUGUCACAUCCUAAAAAUGUACUGUUUGAACUGGAAUUCUAACGCACCUCUUUGAAAACUACUCAUUCUCUGGGUGUCUCCCAUGUAUAUAUGAAAUAUACAUGUUAAUACA